rnacentral:rRNA from 1 species
UGAAUACGAGAUGCUACGGCAUCGAAGCAGUCUAUGUCAUACUUCCAAGAAAAGCUUGCACUGUCAUAAACAAAUAAUGCCUGUACCAUAACCGACACAGGUGGGUAGGUAGAGUAUACUAAGGGGCGCGAGAUAACUCUCUCUAAGGAACUCGGCAAAAUGACUCCGUAACUUCGGGAGAAGGAGUGCCUUAUUUUAUAAGGUUGCAAUAACAAGAUCCAAGCAACUGUUUACCAAAAACACAGGUCUCCGCUAAGUCGUAAGACGAUGUAUGGGGGCUGACGCCUGCCCAGUGCCAGAAGGUUAAAGAAGUUGGUUAGCAUUAGCGAAGCUGAUAACUGAAGCCCUGGUGAACGGCGGCCGUAACAAUAACGGUCCUAAGGUAGCGAAAUUCCUUGUCGGGUAAGUUCCGACCCGCACGAAAGGCGUAAUGAUUUGGAUACUGUCUCGGAGAGGGGCUCGGUGAAAUAGACUUGUCUGUGAAGAUGCGGACUACCUGCACCAGGACAGAAAGACCCUAUGAAGCUUUACUGUAACUUGAGAUUGAAAUUGGACUUUAUUUGCGCAGUAUAGGUGGGAGACGUUGAAAAUAUUCUUGCGGGAAUAUUGGAGUCAUCAGUGAGAUACCACUCUUAUAAUGUUAGAUUUCUAACUUUGUAUCAUUAUCUGGUCAAAGAACAGUCUCAGGCGGGCAGUUUGACUGGGGCGGUCGCCUCCCAAACGGUAACGGAGGCGCACAAAGGUUUCCUCUGAACGUGUAGAAAUCGUAUCUAGAGUGUAAAGGCAUAAGGAAGCUUGACUGUGAGACCUACAAGUCGAGCAGGGACGAAAGUCGGUCUUAGUGAUCUGACGGUGCUGAGUGGAAAGGCCGUCACUCAACGGAUAAAAGUUACUCUAAGGAUAACAGGCUGAUCUCCCCCAAGAGUUCACAUCGACGGGGAGGUUUGGCACCUUGAUGUCGGCUCAUCGCAUCCUGGGGCGGUAGUACGUCCCAAGGGUUGGGCUGUUCGCCCAUGAAAGCGGUACGCGAGCUGGGUUCAGAACGUCGUGAGACAGUUCGGUCCAUAUCCGGUGUAGGCGUUAGAAUAUUGAGAGGAGCCUUCUUUAGUACGAGAGGACCGAGAAGGACAUACCUCUGGUGUACCAGUUAUCGUGCCAACGGUAAACGCUGGGUAGCUAUGUAUGGAGAGGAUAACCGCUGAAAGCAUCUAAGUGGGAAGCCCACCUCAAGAUAAGUA